rnacentral:lncRNA from 1 species
UGUGGGAACUGGCCACGGUGGGGCCACUGGCAAUCACCUCCACAGGGUCCCCCACCACAUCUGACAGGAUGAGGCUCACCACCUGGGGAAGGGCCACCAGACAAGGCUCAGGCCCACUUCCUCCUCCCCUCAGAGCCCAUAAGGACAAACUGCCCCUAGGGUAUCCACACACCCUCCCCCAACUCAGUGCAUUUCCUUACCCAUGGUUAACUCCUCUCACGUGGGCUUGCAAAACACCUGGUCAUGCAGGCACCUCCUCCCCGUCUCUGGCACCCCUCCCAUGAUGUCACCCAGCCGGCCCCAUGGUCUUUCACACCAUGCCCCUGC